CAGAGUUCCGAGUUAGUUCAACACUUAAUGAAGUUAAAAUAACACAUCGGGAGUUGAUUCCUGAAAAGUGUUGGUGUGGAUUUUAGUCGUUACUGCAUUUUAACACUGUGGGUGUUAAAUUAGACCACACCUUCAUUUCCUGUGGAGCUUCGCAUUUCAGAAUCUUCGGUCGCCAUUUUUUCUUGCUGCUGCGGUGGUGAUAUGCUGGUUCCUGAGAAGAGAUGAAGAAAUCAAAGUCAGCUUUUCAAGACAGCCCCAAGACUCUUCGCAACUUGUGUUCAAAUGUGAGGCUGUUGUCAGGUGAUGAAUGCAAGGAAGAGGCACUCAACUGACAUGAAACAUGUCAAAGACAACAUGAAGGUGACAUUUCAACAUAGGCAAAAAGUGGUUCAAGAACCUGCCACAGCUUCUACUGUCCUGGACCUUAUCCCAAGAUUUCUGGAUACACCUGGCUUGAUUGACCAAGACUUCACAAUGCUGUUUGUUGGGGAGGAAGUGUCUGCUAAGUUCCUUGCAAAGUGGCCAGCCAAGCCAAGGAUCAUCAAAGAUUGCAAAAAUCUGUCUCAGAGUACAGAAUUGGAUGAGCUGCUCAUUUCUGCACAGCGUUACUCUGACGAGGGUGUUUGGGACUGCGAGGCGGCUGCCAGCUUUUGCUGCUUCACUUGUUACCUCCAACAUCUAAGGGAGGGAAGUCUUCAAAGAUUAGCACAUCAGAUGCUGCUCACCACCUAACGAAAUUCAUCAAGGUGGGAGGUAGCACGGAGGCUUUUCUUAAGGCUGGCCCCUCAGCCAUUCGUCCUGUGUGUUGGAGAAAGAAAGAACAUCGUCCAGAGUUUCUACAUUGUCCUAGAUCAAAAGGUCAUUCCCUGUGUGACACAGAUGGGAGUUGCAGGUUUUGACAAGGCAAAACAUCUCAAGGCACAUUUAUUUGCCGUGUCCUUUGACAAGGCAUUGGACAACUUCUACACAUUCAUCCAGACCACCGUGUAUGGCAUUGUUGUUGGCAGCGUGAAGGAGAAUCCUCGGGUCAGGGAAACAAGAGGAAGUCUUCAUUGUACAGUUUAAAGAUAUCCACUAUUCAGCACUUUGACUGGAAAUGUUCAUCUGUUACAUUUGCAAGAUACACCACACAAGUUGCUCAGUGUUAUUUAGACAUUUGAAGUUCCAGCAUGGUUUGUACCCAGGAAGGUUUUUACGUUUGACCUGUGGAGAGCCUGGAUGUUCAUUUAUCUUUCGCACGUAUUCUGGUUACAAGCGGCACUUAUUCCGAGCACAUGGAGACUGUCUUCACUCUGAGGUCAUCAAUAAUUUUGAGCCUGUACCUAACGAUGGAACCUCUGUUUCACAGCCUGUAAAUGUGGCUCAUCCCAUGACAAUUACUACACAGGUUCCAGUUGAAAAAAGGCAAAUACUGAACAUGUGCAGCUCUGUUAUUGCUCAGGUACAAUCAUCAGGAGUUCCUGAAAGUACUGUGCAGUGUUUAGUUGGUUCAUUGGAGGAACUCGUUAAUGACAUCCAUGCACAUGCAAAACAAUCUGUUGUUGACUGUUUGUCAACUGAUAUAUCAAGAGAAACCUUAAAAAAAGUUGAGGAUUGCUUUGAUCAGCUUGAAAAUCCAUUUUCAUGUCUUAACACAGAAUCAAAGGCUACGUUCACACUGCAGGUCUUAAUGCUCAAUUCCGAUUUUUUGAUCAAAUCCGAUUUUUUUGUCUGCUUGUUCACACUACACAUAAAAUGCGACAGCAAACAUGUUGCAGUGUGAACGGUUCACGGCCCUCAAAGUGACCCACAUGCGCAAAAGAAGCACAACACGCUCUGUUUACGGAAGUAAAAAUGGCGGCUACAGAGCAAGUAGGUGUUGUUGCAGCAGUUUGUCAAUUUAUGCAAAGUCGUAACCAACAGAAUCUUGACAAAUUAAUCAGAGAAAGGAGGACGCUGAGAAAAAAGAGAGUCCGUGCUUUAUCAAUGGCCUUGUUUGGAGCAGUGGCUGCUACCUCCGUGCAGAGGUAUAUAUGGACACGGAGUUGGAACCAGGAGUGGUGGGAUUGGGAUGUGAGAGGCUUCACUGACACGGAGUUCAUCCACAAUUUCAGGAUGUCAAGACAAACAUUUGAAUAUCUCGUCUGUGAAGGUUCUCAGUCAUCCAGGUCAUCGUAGUCAAAGGAGUUUG